AUGGAGAAGGUUGUUCUGACCCAGUCGGGUCCCGAAGUGAAGCAGCCCGGAGAAUCCACUCAGUUGAAAUGCGCCGUGAGCGGGUUUGUUCCUAACGACUGGUGGAUGGACUGGGUCAGGCAGCAGCCGGGAAAGGGACUGGAGUGGCUGGUUCACUAUCACAAAUCUUCAGUCACGAAUUACUACUCCCCCUCCAUCCAGGGGCGCUUCACAGCCUCCAAGGACAGCGCCAACUUCUACCUGCACAUGCCCGGCCUGAAGCCCGAGGACACCGCCGUGUAUUACUGUGUGAGAGACACAAGGAGCCAGCAGAAGGUCCUCUCCAGCUCCCGAGCCCCACCUAAGCCUCCUGUAGGAUUUAUCCACUAG